UGAAACUGACCUUUACCAUUUUUGCUGUUUUUACCCCUUAACUCCAGAACAUUCAGUCAUAGAUAGUCCAAACUAUACCUUUUUGGAAUCUGUAUGAUCAGACAAAUAAUGUGGUAUGGUGUUCAACAUGACUGUAGCAUUUUUAAAUAUUGACCCCUGUAGCUCAUUAGAGGUCAGCUCCAGGAUGGCUCCAUAUCUGAAAAUAAACAUUGCUUAAUUUAGAAUAUGUGUGCCAAAUUUCAUGCUUUUAUCACAAACUGAACAAUUGUUAUGGCAAUUUUAGCUAAGCUGCACCUCUCCCGAGGAACCCCUCAGGGUUAGUAAGAGCAUCACAUGUUGGUGUGUGUGUACGUACGUGUGUGUUACUGGCUCAUGUUCAGGUUUCACCCACUCAGGCAGAGCUCACACAGUGUAGGCGGAGUCUCAGUUCCUUUCCUUUCUGCUGUCAGCAGAAUCAACCACAUAAUCAAGUAACGAUGACUGAGACAGUUCCCGUUGCAAUACAUCAGUCUGCUAUUAUGGGAGUGGACGUUUCCUGGGAUGAGUGCUGUUCCCAUAUUCUUAAUUUGCAGUCACUGUGCAGCUUUGGAGAUGGAAAUGGGAGGAGUUAACCAAAUGUGUUUGUGUGUCUGUAGUCACAUGCUGACUGGAGCCUGUUUGUUUUAUUCAAGUUGUCACUGUUUUUAUUUUCUAAGAGGGAAUGGUGACCUUUUCUGCUUUUUGGAUAAUGAUGGAAAGGUAGAAUUGGACCUGGGUUAAGCUCAACUCUCCCAAAACCUCAGUAGUAUGUCUUGCUUAUGCUUAAGUUGGGCGUUUCUCUCUAUAUAUGCUACUUUUCCAUUCAGUCCUAUCAUUUUCCGUUGGCAGCACUGCACGAGCGUGUUUACCCAGGGCUCGACGGUUGUAAGUUUGAAAAAGGCAGCAGUAUAUAGAUUUUUAAGCCUCAAGGAAGUGUUUGUUGUGUGAUUUCUAGAAAGAUGACAGAGGGCUGAAGUGUGUGUGUGUGUGUGUGUGUGUGUGUGUGUGUGUGUGUGUGUGUGUGUGUGUGUGUGUGAGAGAGAGCUGCAGUCACGCUAUGAUAACAUUGUGUGGCAUCUGCACAGAGCAGACAGUGUUUGCUCCCUCCUCCUCUGUGGAACAAUCAGCGUACUGUGCUAUGUGCAGGGCCACAGCAGUCAGAAUGGUAAUUAUGGCCGCUUCUGGCCAGAUUGGCGGCUUUUUUUUUUUAAUAAUGAAAACCAAAGAGCCAGACAAAGAGGACAAAAAUUGAAAAAGGAAAAGACCGGGGCAGGCAGAGCUGACCCAAAGCACAGCUGCAGGGUGGGUGUGGAUCUGCUGUGAGCGGAUGGAAAAAAAAAAGGUACAAAACUCAUUUCCAUAUUUACAGUCAGGGCCGCGCAUCUCUCUGUGCUUGUUGUUGACACUUUCA